GUUGUAUAUGUAGCCUACAUUGCGUGUUUGCAUAAAAGAGCAGGUUAAUCCUUUUUUGAACAGGUUUGUUGAAAAAUCCUUCUCGAAAGAAUCGUAUUUCCAAAGUACUGUCAACUGACCACAUCUUCUUCCGCUUGUCAAAAUAGUUCUGCUCAGUUUGGUGUUUUAUUACGGAUUUAUUCUCAUAGUACCGUUUCAUAAUUUGAUAUAAUAAUAUAAUAAUAUGCUGAUAUUAAAAUUAAAAAAAAUAAAAAAUGUAAUAUUCGAACUGAAGGAAUUCCCGCCCUAGCGCAAGGACACAUUCUCCUCCAAGCACGCAGUGGAGCUGCUGCGCGCGCAGAAGGAAUAACUCGACCUUCAGUUUCACGGUCAAUCUUCAAUCUGAGGCGAAAAUAAGCAGAUAAGUUCAGUGAGUGCUAAAACCAUGGUCAACAUGAAAGGUCAUAGUUAACGACCACAUCACCAUCUUCUGCAACGCUCUGAUGUUUGCUUCAUACAACUGCUUGAACAUUUCAUACCCAGGAAACCAAGGAGAAACGCAAGAGAUUGUGCAAAGAUUCCUUUUUAAGAUGAACCCCGAGAAGGGAUCGAAAGUGGAGAAGACCACAUCGAGAAAGAAAUCAGCAGUCAGUCCAAAGGUUCUUUCACUGAUUAACAAGAUUGCAGACUUUGAAAGGAUGGAGUAAAACUUGGAGUGUCAGAUCUUCCUACAUUGCCUAGCAGAAAUUCUUGACAGUGUCAAAGACUUAAAAUACUUGCUGAUUAUUUGCUUUCAUGGUUGAUUUUUUUUUUUUUUAAUGCAUCAUCUGUUGUCAAGAUGAAUUAAUCUGUUCACAGGUGGUUCAGUUUUAAGGACAAAU